GGGGCAGCGGGGCUGGGCUCCGGCCGGGAGUCAGACGAGGGAGCGCGCGCGCGCUCCCGGACAGUUCUCCGCAGCCGCUCGCCCGAGCCUUCUACUUGGCCAACACAGCUGCCUCUACCACCUCGCGUGCCCGGUUCGUGGGCUUUCAGUUACCAAGCAUGUCCUGAAGAUGAAGAUACUCUCAGCCUAACGUCUCCAAGCAAAUAUUGAUUCAGCAGUAUCCCCAGGCAAAGCCACACCAUAUAUCAGUGAACAGAGAAACAACUGCCCUUCUCCGGGCCCCUGUCUGAGAAGCUGGAGCAUCAGCCCUGGAGCUCUCCGGAGCAGUUUCCUUGCUCACUGUCCCCAGCUGGACACAGCCGCAUGCAGAGGUCCAAAGCACGUAAACAGGAUACCCACCCUGCAUUAUCUUAUAUUUUAAGUCAAUAUGAAGAUGGACAUUCUACCCCUGAGACCAAUUUCGAUCAAAUACUUUUGUCAAUAAAAAGAUACUAAUGU
ensembl:lincRNA Gm2694 predicted gene 2694